rnacentral:misc_RNA from 1 species
GAGGUUUUUGAAGAUAAACAUGCACACCUUCCUUCUCAGCUUGUCGCCGCAGUUCUGCUGCUUCUUUCAGAAGAAUUGUAGCUAUUCUGUUCUCUGUCUCCAGAUCCAUCAAAGCCUGAAAAACAAGUUCUGGGAUGGAGAAUGUGAAUAAGGGAGACGAGUAGUGUUUAUCUUAAGAACGAGCAACAAGAGAGGAGAGAUCGAGAGUAUAAAGCUGAAUUAUUUAUGAGAAUAAACUCAAUCUCGAACUCAAAUUCAGUAGAAAUGCCAAAGACUUGAUUAAAGAAGACCUUCCAGUCAGCCAAUUUCUUCUUCGCUGUGAAGGUCAGGAGAGGAGGGAUUCAGAGAAUUGAUUCGAAAUCCCUAAUUGAGUUCUUGCUAAUUGUUAUAAUA